GGGGGUUUAGCUCAGUGGUAGAGCGCUCGCUUCGCAUGUGAGAGGCCGCGGGUUCAAAUCCCGCAACCUCCA